rnacentral:rRNA from 1 species
UACGUAGGGUGCAAGCGUUGUCCGGAAUUAUUGGGCGUAAAGAGCUCGUAGGCGGUUUGUCGCGUCUGCUGUGAAAUCCCAGGGCUUAACCCUGGGCCUGCAGUGGGUACGGGCAAACUAGAGUGCGGUAGGGGAGAUCGGAAUUCCUGGUGUAGCGGUGAAAUGCGUAGAGAUCCGGAAGAACACCGGAGGCGAAGGCGGCUGGCUGGGCCUGAUCUGACGCUGAGGUGCGAAAGCGUGGGGAGCGAACAGG